rnacentral:rRNA from 1 species
ACUCCUACGGGAGGCAGCAGUAGGGAAUCUUCCGCAAUGGGCGAAAGCCUGACGGAGCAACGCCGCGUGAGUGAAGAAGGUCUUCGGAUCGUAAAACUCUGUUAUUAGGGAAGAACAAAUGUGUAAGUAACUAUGCACGUCUUGACGGUACCUAAUCAGAAAGCCACGGCUAACUACGUGCCAGCAGCCGCGGUAAUACGUAGGUGGCAAGCGUUAUCCGGAAUUAUUGGGCGUAAAGCGCGCGUAGGCGGUUUUUUAAGUCUGAUGUGAAAGCCCACGGCUCAACCGUGGAGGGUCAUUGGAAACUGGAAAACUUGAGUGCAGAAGAGGAAAGUGGAAUUCCAUGUGUAGCGGUGAAAUGCGCAGAGAUAUGGAGGAACACCAGUGGCGAAGGCGACUUUCUGGUCUGUAACUGACGCUGAUGUGCGAAAGCGUGGGAUCAAACAGGAUUAGAUACCCUGGUAGACUGUCAU